UACGUAGGGUGCAAGCGUUAAUCGGAAUUACUGGGCGUAAAGCGUGCGCAGGCGGCUUUGCAAGACAGAUGUGAAAUCCCCGGGCUUAACCUGGGAACUGCGUUUGAAACUGGAAGGCUUGAGUGUGGCAGAGGGGGGUGGAAUUCCACGUGUAGCAGUGAAAUGCGUAGAGAUGUGGAGGAACACCGAUGGCGAAGGCAGCCCCCUGGGCUAACACUGACGCUCAUGCACGAAAGCGUGGGGAGCAAACAGG
rnacentral:rRNA from 1 species